GAUUUAUAUAGAUUAUUUUCUCAAGCUACUUAAUGCUUUAAUUCUAGCUACUCAUCAUGAAAUAGUAAACAGUUUUACUGAAAUAAACUCUACAGACAGAUGCAGUAUGAGGAGCUAUUGAAGUAGAAAAUGUAUUUCGCUUUGCACACUGAGUUGGUUUUAGCAGACAACCUCAAGUAGGUUUCCAUAACAGCCAUUACCUUUGAAAUCUACCUUCUGUAGUUUAUUAUAAAU
rnacentral:lncRNA from 1 species